GAUUCGCAAACUAUGGCGACAAACAACCAUAGCAGAAGCAUGUCCGGAUUAUUUCACAUAUAUCACAAAAUCCUGCAAAGGGUCUGUCCCCAUUGGAUCACCUCCCAUCACGCCACACACGACGUGAAUGACUUCGUGCUUCUCCAUACCUGCAUUGAUCUCUGGGUCCAUUGCCAGUUAUAAACCUCCAAGGGCAAUAGCCAUGAGGUGAUGUACAGUCAAGCAUCACUUAAUAACCAGGAUACAUUCUGAGAAAUUUGUCGUUAGGCAAUUUUUUCAUUGCACGAACCUCACAGAGUGUACUUACACUAACCUAGAUAGUAGCAUCCAGUAAACACCUGGGCUAUAUGGUCUAGCCUAUUGCUCCUAGGCUACAAACCUGUAUAGCAUGUUACUGUACUGAAUAUGUAGGCACUUGUAACACAAUGGUAAGUGUUUUUGUAUCUAAACAUAUCUAAACAUAGGAGAGGUAAUGCAUUGUGCUACAGCAUUACAAUGGCUAUGACAGACACUAGGCAAUAGGAAUUUUCCAGCUCCAUUAUAAUCUUAAGGGACCACCAUGGCACAUGCAGCCCAUUGUUGACCAAAAGUUGUUAUGUGGUGAAUGACUAUAAUUGGCUUUUCAGAGCAACCACUCACAAGGGGGUGUAGUAUAGCUUACUAGACAAAACUGCAGCCGCUGCUCUGUUUUUUGCUCUUAGAAAACUGAGUACCUGAUUUGGACAAAAUCAUAAUAAAAUUUAGAUAGAGCCAACAUUUGUCCUCUGGAAGUUUCUGACAAGAUACAAGUCACCGUUAUAAUAGUCAAAUGUCAAAGUGGUAUAUCUAACAAAAUUAAAACAGACAGCUAGGAGUGAGAAGAUUUAAGAAAAUUCAGGUGGCCCAAAGGAAAGCCAAGACAAGACAUUCUCUCCCGGCCUUUGGGCCUGGAUUUUCAUUUCAGCAGGUAACGAGGAGACCAAAGGCCUAGUUAUUUAUGGAGAUCUGGGGCCACAGCAGAGCUCCUCAUGGCAGGAUAAGGCAGUGGAAAGCAGACUCAACGGUUAACCCACAGUCCUCCUCAGCAAGCUGGGAGAAGCAACUGAUGCCACUUAGAUGCUUAGACCGGGC
rnacentral:lncRNA from 1 species